CAAGUCGAGCGAAUUCCGGCAGAGUACCGCCGGAGUUAGCGGCAGACGGGUGAGUAAUACUUGGGCGAUCUGCCCUCGAGAGGGAAACAACCUGCCGAAAGGCGGGCUAAUGUCCCAUAAGACCACAGGGUCGCAUGAUCCAGGGGUCAAAGCUCCGCAAGGGGCGCUUGAGGAGGAGCCCGAGUCCUAUCAUGGUAGUUGGUGAGGUAAUGGCUCACCAAGCCUUUGACGGGUAGCCGGCCUGAAAGGGUGACCGGCCACACUGGCACUGAGACACGGGCCAGACUCCUACGGGAGGCAGCAGUGGGGAAUUUUGGACAAUGGGGGCAACCCUGAUCCAGCGACGCCGCGUGGAGGACGAAGGUCUUCGGAUUGUAAACUCCUUUUGGAGGGGAUGAAUGGCCUGGUGAAGAACCAGGAGUGACAGUACUCUCUGAAUAAGCCACGGCUAACUACGUGCCAGCAGCCGCGGUAAUACGUAGGUGGCAAGCGUUACUCGGAAUCACUAGGCGUAAAGCGCAGGUAGGCGGUUCGGUAAGUCUCUUGUGAAAGCUCCCGGCUCAACUGGGAGAGGUCAAGGGAAACUACCGGGCUAGAGUGUGGCAGAGGAAGCUGGAAUUCCCGGUGUAGCGGUGAAAUGCGUAGAGAUCGGGAGGAAUACCUAUGGCGAAAGCAGGCUUCUGGGCCGUCACUGACGCUGAUCUGCGAAAGCUAGGGGAGCAAACAGGAUUAGAUACCCUGGUAGUCCUAGCCCUAAACGAUGCUCAUUAGGUGUGGAAGGUAUCGACCCCUCCCGCGCCGAAGCUAACGCAUUAAAUGAGCCGCCUGGGGAGUACGGCCGCAAGGUUGAAACUCAAAGGAAUUGACGGGGGCCCGCACAAGCGGUGGA
rnacentral:rRNA from 1 species